GGCCAAGAGCUCACAAUUAUAUGAUGAAACUGACGAGAGAUUCAGAGGACAGACUGAAGCUAGACAAUCAGACUGGAUCUCUUAGCAUCACAAACACCAGAACCACAAACGCUGGACUCUAUAAUGCGAAAAUCAGCAGCAACAAACAGACCUUAUACCAGAAAUACUUUGUUACUGUCAGUGUUCCAGGUCUGUCUCCGGCUGCUGUAGUAUGGAUUGUUGUUGUUGUUGUUCUGGCUGGUAAUAGUUGCAGCUGCUGGUGUUUUAUUUUUUUGGAGCAGGACCUCUGAACUAAAAAAUUCAAAAGUCCAACAUCUCUGAAUGCCAAAAUGAAACAUUGGAGAUCUCUGACAAACUAAAGCGAAUGUGUAAGUAUUAAAGCUGAAACAUCAGGAG